CCUACGGGAGGCAGCAGUAGGGAAUCUUCCACAAUGGGCGAAAGCCUGAUGGAGCAACGCCGCGUGGGUGAAGAAGGUCUUCGGAUCGUAAAACCCUGUUGUUAGAGAAGAAAGUGCGUGAGAGUAACUGUUCACGUUUCGACGGUAUCUAACCAGAAAGCCACGGCUAAAUACGUGCCAGCAGCCGCGGUAAUACGUAGGUGGCAAGCGUUAUCCGGUUUUAUUGGGCGUAAAGGGAACGCAGGGGGUCUUGUAAGUCUGAUGUGAAAGCCUUCGGCUUAACCGGAGUAGUGCAUUGGAGACUGGGAGACUUGAGUGCAGAAGAGGAGGGUGGAACUCGAGGUGUAGCGGUGAAAUGCGUAGAUAUAUGGAAGAACACCAAUGGCGAAAGCAGCUCUCUGAUCUGUAACUGACGCUGAGGUUCGAAAGCGUGGGUAGCAAACAGGAUUAGAUACCCGAGUAGUC
rnacentral:rRNA from 1 species